rnacentral:rRNA from 1 species
CGCGUAGGCGGUGAUUUAAGUGAGGUGUGCAAUCCCCGGGCUUAACCUGGGAACUGCACCUCAGACUGGAUCGCUAGAGUACUGGAGAGGGUGGUAGAAUUCCACGUGUAGCGGUGAAAUGCGUAGAGAUGUGGAGGAAUACCAGUGGCGAAGGCGGCCACCUGGACAGUAACUGACGCUGAGGCGCGAAAGCGUGGGUAGCAAACAGGAUUAGAUACCCUGGUAGUCCACGCUGUAAACGAUGAACACUUGGUGUGGUGGGAGUUGACCCCCGCCGUGCCGUAGCUAACGCGAUAAGUGUUCCGCCUGGGGAGUACGGUCGCAAGGCUGAA